AGCAUAUCAAUAAGCGGAGGAAAAGAAACUAACAAGGAUUCCCCUAGUAACUGCGAGUGAAGCGGGAAAAGCUCAAAUUUAAAAUCUGGUGGUCUUUGGCCAUCCGAGUUGUAGUCUGGAGAAGUGCUUUCCGUGCUGGACCGUGUA
rnacentral:rRNA from 1 species